UCAUAGAGGGUGAGAAUCCCGUAUUUGACCAUUAUUUUCAGCUGUGUGAUACACUUUCAAAGAGUCGGAUUGUUUGGGAAUGCAGUCCAAAAUGGGUGGUAAAUUUCAUCUAAAGCUAAAUAUUGGCGAGAGACCGAUAGCGAACAAGUACCGUGAGGGAAAGAUGAAAAGAACUUUGAAAAGAGAGUUAAACAGUACGUGAAAUUGUCAAAAGGGAAGCGUUUGACACCAGUGUUGUUUUCUCGAAAAUCAAUUAAAAAAAGUUGGAUUUUGUGUUUGUAUGACCUUAACAGCUUCUUUCACUUUUUUCCUGCUUUUUUUAAUGCACUUUUCGUUUAACAAGUCAACAUCAGUUUCUUUUGUUGUAAAAAGGUCAUUGGAGGGUGGCUUUCUUUUCGGAGAAAGUGUUUAUAGCCUUUGACUCCUGCAAUCGGAGAGACUGAGGUCUGCAGCGUAGAUCCUUCGGGGUUAGAUACAUUUGUGCUAAGUUAUAGCUUUUCAUAGACAACUUGUUGACUAUGUUUAGUCAUGUAGCUUACUCGCUUAUGCUAUUUUACCUACGCUUAGGAUGUUGA
rnacentral:rRNA from 1 species